GGAAGUAAAAGGUAACAAGGUUUCCGUAGGUGAACCUGCGGAAGGAUCAUUAUUGUAUAACCGAGGUGCGAGGGCUGUCGCUGACCCGAAAGGUCGUGCACGCCCGAGUGCCCUCACACACAUCCAUCUCACCCCUAUGUGCACCACCGCGUGGGUCCCCCUUUGGCUUGUUCGGAGGGGGGCUUACGUUUUCACACAAACUUUGUAUGCAGUGUAGAAUGUAUUUUUUGUUUUUGCGAUCACGCAAUCAAUACAACUUUCAACAACGGAUCUCUUGGCUCUC
rnacentral:misc_RNA from 1 species